rnacentral:rRNA from 1 species
UUAAGCGACUAAGCGUACACGGUGGAUGCCCUGGCAGUCAGAGGCGAUGAAGGACGUGCUAAUCUGCGAAAAGCGUCGGUAAGGUGAUAUGAACCGUUAUAGCCGGCGAUGUCCGAAUGGGGAAACCCAGUGCAAUUCGUUGCACUAUCGUUAACUGAAUACAUAGGUUAACGAGGCGAACCGGGGGAACUGAAACAUCUAAGUACCCCGAGGAAAAGAAAUCAACCGAGAUUCCCCCAGUAGCGGCGAGCGAACGGGGAGCAGCCCGGAGUCUGAAUCAGCUUGUGUGUUAGUGGAAGCGUCUGGAAAGUCGCAGGGUACAGGGUGAUACUCCCGUACACUAAAACACACAGGCUGUGAACUCGAAGAGUAGGGCGGGACACGUGGUAUCCUGUCUGAAUAUGGGGGGACCAUCCUCCAAGGCUAAAUACUCCUGACUGACCGAUAGUGAACCAGUACCGUGAGGGAAAGGCGAAAAGAACCCCGGCGAGGGGAGUGAAAAAGAACCUGAAACCGUGUACGUACAAGCAGUAGGAGCCCACUAGUUGGGUGACUGCGUACCUUUUGUAUAAUGGGUCAGCGACUUAUAUUCUGUAGCAAGGUUAACCGUAUAGGGGAGCCGCAGGGAAACCGAGUCUUAACUGGGCGUUAAGUUGCAGGGUAUAGACCCGAAACCCGGUGAUCUAGCCAUGGGCAGGUUGAAGGUUGGGUAACACUAACUGGAGGACCGAACCGACUAAUGUUGAAAAAUUAGCGGAUGACUUGUGGCUGGGGGUGAAAGGCCAAUCAAACCGGGAGAUAGCUGGUUCUCCCCGAAAGCUAUUUAGGUAGCGCCUCGUGAACUCAUCUUCGGGGGUAGAGCACUGUUUCGGCUAGGGGGUCAUCCCGACUUACCAACCCGAUGCAAACUACGAAUACCGAAGAAUGUUAUCACGGGAGACACACGGCGGGUGCUAACGUCCGUCGUGAAGAGGGAAACAACCCAGACCGCCAGCUAAGGUCCCAAAGUCAUGGUUAAGUGGGAAACGAUGUGGGAAGGCCCAGACAGCCAGGAUGUUGGCUUAGAAGCAGCCAUCAUUUAAAGAAAGCGUAAUAGCUCACUGGUCGAGUCGGCCUGCGCGGAAGAUGUAACGGGGCUAAACCAUGCACCGAAGCUGCGGCAGCGACGCUUAUGCGUUGUUGGGUAGGGGAGCGUUCUGUAAGCCGUUGAAGGUGGCCUGUGAGGGUUGCUGGAGGUAUCAGAAGUGCGAAUGCUGACAUAAGUAACGAUAAUGCGGGUGAAAAACCCGCACGCCGGAAGACCAAGGGUUCCUGUCCAACGUUAAUCGGGGCAGGGUGAGUCGACCCCUAAGGCGAGGCCGAAAGGCGUAGUCGAUGGGAAACAGGUUAAUAUUCCUGUACUUGGUGUUACUGCGAAGGGGGGACGGAGAAGGCUAUGUUGGCCGGGCGACGGUUGUCCCGGUUUAAGCAUGUAGGCGGAUGUUCCAGGUAAAUCCGGAACGUCACUAACGCUGAGGUGUGAUGACGAGGCACUACGGUGCUGAAGUGACAAAUGCCCUGCUUCCAGGAAAAGCCUCUAAGCAUCAGGUAACAUCAAAUCGUACCCCAAACCGACACAGGUGGUCAGGUAGAGAAUACCAAGGCGCUUGAGAGAACUCGGGUGAAGGAACUAGGCAAAAUGGUGCCGUAACUUCGGGAGAAGGCACGCUGAUGGUAAGUGAAGUGACUUGCUCACGGAGCUGAAAUCAGUCGAAGAUACCAGCUGGCUGCAACUGUUUAUUAAAAACACAGCACUGUGCAAACACGAAAGUGGACGUAUACGGUGUGACGCCUGCCCGGUGCCGGAAGGUUAAUUGAUGGGGUUAUCCUCACGGAGAAGCUCUUGAUCGAAGCCCCGGUAAACGGCGGCCGUAACUAUAACGGUCCUAAGGUAGCGAAAUUCCUUGUCGGGUAAGUUCCGACCUGCACGAAUGGCGUAAUGAUGGCCAGGCUGUCUCCACCCGAGACUCAGUGAAAUUGAACUCGCUGUGAAGAUGCAGUGUACCCGCGGCAAGACGGAAAGACCCCGUGAACCUUUACUAUAGCUUGACACUGAACACUGGUCCUUGAUGUGUAGGAUAGGUGGGAGGCUUUGAAGUGUGGACGCCAGUCUGCAUGGAGCCGUCCUUGAAAUACCACCCUUUAAUGGCUGGGGUUCUAACGUGGGCCCCUAAUCCGGGUUGCGGACAGUGUCUGGUGGGUAGUUUGACUGGGGCGGUCUCCUCCUAAAGAGUAACGGAGGAGCACGAAGGUCAGCUAAUCCUGGUCGGACAUCAGGAGGUUAGUGCAAUGGCAUAAGCUGGCUUGACUGCGAGCGUGACGGCGCGAGCAGGUGCGAAAGCAGGUCAUAGUGAUCCGGUGGUUCUGAAUGGAAGGGCCAUCGCUCAACGGAUAAAAGGUACUCCGGGGAUAACAGGCUGAUACCGCCCAAGAGUUCAUAUCGACGGCGGUGUUUGGCACCUCGAUGUCGGCUCAUCACAUCCUGGGGCUGAAGUAGGUCCCAAGGGUAUGGCUGUUCGCCAUUUAAAGUGGUACGCGAGCUGGGUUUAGAACGUCGUGAGACAGUUCGGUCCCUAUCUGCCGUGGGCGCUGGAGAAUUGAGGGGGGCUGCUCCUAGUACGAGAGGACCGGAGUGGACGCAUCACUGGUGUUCGGGUUGUCAUGCCAAUGGCAUUGCCCGGUAGCUAAAUGCGGAAGAGAUAAGUGCUGAAAGCAUCUAAGCACGAAACUUGCCCCGAGAUGAGUUCUCCCUGACCCCUUAAGAGUCCUGAAGGAACGUUGAAGACGACGACGUUGAUAGGCCGGGUGUGUAAGCGCAGCGAUGCGUUGAGCUAACCGGUACUAAUGAACCGUGAGGCUUAACCUU